GCUACUGCACCGCCAUCUUUACGUUCCCUAACAUUCUGUAUUCCUAUGGGUCUCAAUGGGAAAUCUUCUGUUUUGCAGCAUUACCUUCAGCGACGCACGUGUUACCUCAGUAGAAACAAGUUUAAGAAACUGAGUGCAGGCCUGAAUAUGGCCCAGCUCACUGGCAUAAUUUCUAAAGUGGUCAAUUGGAAUUGACGAGGAGCACAUGGAUAUUGUAGAAGUUAAACAAGGAGGAAAAGCUGUAUGAGGAGACAGUAGUCAGCCUGGCUUCACUGAAGAGCUGUUUUAACAGUACAAGCUUGCCCAGAGUUUUCCUAAGACGUUUGGAGUGUGAUGCAGCACAUGUUUCCUUGGCAAUGAAGUGGAGCCUGAUGUUAGUGCAGCUUUCUGCAAUGCACUUUGAGUUUGAAGAUGUGAUUGUUAUAUGGUUCUAGGUUGAACAUGUGUGCCUCAAGUUCCUUGAAUGCAGAACCACCAUGGAGUUCCAGAACCUUUGUGGGGACAGAGAAGGGCCUUGUGAGUGUGUGCUGUUGAAUACAUUUCUCAGCUGUCUUGCAGACUUUCAGGACACUGUCUGAUGGUCUGAUAAGUCCACCUCGGGACUUCAUGUCGAUCAGUGUGUUCAUCUUGGGAAGAGCUCUCAGCACUAAGUGCUGAUAAACAGGCUGAACGUCACUUUGCCUGAAAUGCCAGUAUAUCAGAAGGUGUUGCCUCCAGUACCACUGUGCUAUCCUGUGGAGAACAGUUGCCACUAGCUCUGAUGGCUGACUUAAAUUGCCUUGCUGUGGGAUUGUUAUUAAAUCCAUUAGCAGAUUUGUCCCCACAUAUGUCUAGACAAUUUUUAUUGUAUUGUUCAGUUUAA